rnacentral:siRNA from 1 species
UAGAUCUCUCGUGCGUAUAUC